GAUGAACGCUGGCGGCGUGCCUAAUACAUGCAAGUCGAGCGAACAGACGAGGAGCUUGCUCCUCUGACGUUAGCGGCGGACGGGUGAGUAACACGUGGAUAACCUACCUAUAAGACUGGGAUAACUUCGGGAAACCGGAGCUAAUACCGGAUAAUAUAUUGAACCGCAUGGUUCAAUAGUGAAAGACGGUGUUGCGGUCACUUAUAGAGGGAUCCGCGCCGCAUUAGCUAGUUGGUAAGGUAACGGCUUAUCAAGGCAACGAUGCGUAGACGAACUGAGAGACGGGUCGGCGACACUAGAGGUGGAACAGCGACAAGGCUCCUAAGGGAGGGCGCAGUAGGGUAUCGUACGCAAUGGGCGAAAACCUUACGGAGCAAGCGCGAGUGAGUGACAAAGGUGCUCGGAUCGUAAAACCCUGUUAUGAGGGAAGAACAAAUGUGGAAGUAACUAUGGCCGUACUGACGGUACCUAAUCAGAAAGCCACGGCUAACUACGUG
rnacentral:rRNA from 1 species